rnacentral:lncRNA from 1 species
UGCAUCCUUUACAUACAAGUUAUUUUGUAUUUUGGCUUGUAUUUCCAAGAUCUAAACCACUUACCAUAGACUUGAUCUCUCUCAUACUCUUCAUAUUCAAAUGGCUAAGGUGACAAUGCCAUAUAUUCAACUUAUCUUGGUUUAAUGUAAACUCAACAAAUACAGCAAUAUCUACUCCAUUUACCUUCUUAUAAAUGAAGUAGUACAAAUUUUCCUUUUUAAAGCCUUUGAAGACCUUGUUUCUACUCAAUGUUCUUACAAAAUAUCCAUUCUUGUUGAAUUGAACUUUUAAACAUUCUAUUAUAAGUUUA